GUGCCGGCAGCCGCGGUAAUACGUAGGGUGCGAGCGUUAAUCGGAAUUACUGGGCGUAAAGCGUGCGCAGGCGGUGAUGUAAGACAGAUGUGAAAUCCCCGGGCUCAACCUGGGACCUGCAUUUGUGACUGCAUCGCUAGAGUACGGCAGAGGGGGAUGGAAUUCCGCGUGUAGCAGUGAAAUGCGUAGAUAUGCGGAGGAACACCGAUGGCGAAGGCAAUCCCCUGGGCCUGUACUGACGCUCAUGCACGAAAGCGUGGGGAGCAAACAGGAUUAGAAACCCGAGUAGUCC
rnacentral:rRNA from 1 species